rnacentral:rRNA from 1 species
AUUGAACGCUGGCGGCAGGCCUAACACAUGCAAGUCGAACGAGGGGCGGACGGGUGAGUAAUGUAUGGGAAACUGCCCGAUCGAGGGGGAUAACUACUGGAAACGGUAGCUAAUACCGCAUACUAUCGGCAGAGCCCAUAUGGGAUUAGCUUGUAGGUGAGGUAAUGGCUCACCUAGGCGACGAUCCCUAGCUGGUCUGAGAGGUUGACAAGCCACACUGGAAGUGAGACACGGUCCAGACGCCUACGGGAGGCAGCAGGGGGAAAUAUUGCACAAUGGGCGCAAGCCUGAUGCAGCCAUGCCGCGUGUAUGAAGAAGGCCUUCGGGUUGUAAAGUACUUUCAGCGGGGAGGCGUUACCCACAGAAGAAGCACCGGCUAACUCCGUGCCAGCCGCCGCGGUAAUAC